GACGAACGCUGGCGGCGUGCUUAACACAUGCAAGUCGAACGAGUGGCGAACGGGUGAGUAAUACGUGGGAACCUGCCCUCCUUUUUGGGAUAACUACUGGAAACGGUAGCUAAUACCGCAUACCAUCGGUUGUGCCCAGAAGGGAUGAGCUAGUAGGGGGGGUAACGGAUCACCUAGGCGAAGAUCCCUAGCGGGUCUGAGAGGAUGACCAGCCACACUGGAACUGGGACACGGUCCAGACUCCUACGAGAGGCAGCAGUGGCGAAUAUUGCCCAAUGGGCGCAAUCCUGAUGCAGCCAUGACGCGGGUAUGACGAAGGCCGUCGGGUUGUAAAGUACUUUCAGCGAGGAGGCGUUACUCGCAGAAUAAGCACCGACUAACUCCGUGCCAGCAGCCGCGGUAAUAC
rnacentral:rRNA from 1 species